rnacentral:sRNA from 1 species
UAUUGAAAAUGCCAGGCUCUGUUGAUGU